CCUGGCUGCAUCCUCCAGCUUAACUCUUCCCUCUCUCCUAUUUCAGGCAAUAUCUGACUCAAAAUUAAGUAAUCUGCCAGGAACCAGGUUGUGGUGGCCAAGUCAAGAGUGUUGGGUACUUGAAUGACUCCCAGGCAUCAUGGGAAGCAGAAAUUGGAAAGCCUUCAGAACUGGGAGCUGUCCAGCUGUCUGCCCAUCCCCCACCACCACACUCCUACUCCCCUCCAGGCAUGGAAGUUUCUUCUUUCUGCAUCAAUUAUAGUAAGUGUUGUUCAGGAUAUAAAGUUGAAUGUCAACAGACCUUUUCUUCAAGGAGCACAGUACAUCGGAUACAUCCAUGGAAGCUCCAUUAAAAGGUAAGACAGCUUACUGAGUUUGGAGAAGGAACAAAGAGACUUUUCC
rnacentral:lncRNA from 1 species